AAUAGCUCCUCCCGCCCAUAAUCAACAAGAUGUAGUACAGCAUUUCUGCCACUGGGAGGCGGUAGCACACUCUUACAGUAUUUAAGAUGCCGUUGCAGCCUGUGUCGGAAUGCAUGUGAGCAGAAGACGCCCCGUGGUGUACGUUGUGGUCGUCUACCAGGGUUUAACAGCACGGUUACAAUUGUAAUCUUCAAGUGUUUUGAUCACGUGUGACUGCCGUGCACCACGCCCUCUAGCGGACACGCGUGGGAAUUGUUCCGCCUGAGGCAAAUACAUAAUUGUGCGGAAUUAAGUCAAAUUGACAUCAGUAAUCGCCGCUUUAAUCCACGCGGAGUUCUCGGGUGUGAGGCGUGAAGCAGGAGUUAAGUACAAGCCGCCUGGCAGUGACGUCAUCCGGCGUUUGGCAGUAAUCCCGCCUGCAGGCGGCUCAGGAGGACGCGUGCUCGUCGUCAUCAUCAUCAUCAUCAUCAUCAUCAUCACCUGAGCCACGCGUGUGGGAUUCAUCUGACCAAGUUUUUCGCGGGAAACCGCUGCCCACGUCACACGUCAUGUCGGCACGCGUGACCUGCCGGCCUUACGUCACUCGCACCGUUGCCAGGAGCCGCUCCGAGGAAGCUGCAGGAUGAGAAUGUUGACUGCGAGUCUCAAGCAGGGAGCCGCAAUAAUGAGCUCGGCGUCGAUGAGUCGGCGAGGACCUGCCGAACGAAAACGCUUGUGACACACGAGGAGCUGCGGCCCAGCGGAAGUAAUGUGGAGGUGCACCCAAUGUCGCAGAGACUGCAGAGAUAGAAAAGUGCACAGUUGUCAUCGCUCUCUACAUGCUCGGACAAUUAUCUAGUAUGCUAAUUGUUGACAUGCUAACAUGCACGGUAUAAAACAAAGAUGCUAAACUGACAGUUGACUGGUAGAAAACAAAGAUGGUUACCUUGCUAGCAAGAAAGUGGCAAAUAAUAUCCACUACUUUUAGUUUUAUACCUGCAAAAUUGGCUAGCAUGCUAACAGAUGACGUGCUAACACGCUAACAAUUAAGAUAUUAACACAUUAGAGCCAACUAAUAUCCACUACUUUUAGUUUUGUACCUACAAAAUUGGCUAACAGAUGCCGUGCUAACAAUUAAGAUAUUAACACAAUAGAGCCAAAAUAUAUCCACUACUUUUAGUUUUAUACCUGCAAAAUUGGCGAGCAUGCUAACAGAUGACGUGCAUCAGUGGUAUUCAGUGAGGUAAAAUGAAGUAAAUACGCUGACACUUCGUUGCUCCUGCCAAAUGAAUAGCACUGAGUGGAGUGGAUCACCACUCCAAGAUGGCGGCCCCGCGUCUAGUCAGCGCCAGUAGGCAGUAGCGCUCAAUGCUGCGUCUACUUAUAAGUGUCAUGAUCCGCUACUUGGAUCAUGUCAUAUUCGGUUUUUGGUUCCGUUUUGUAUCUCAUCUUGUUAGUAUUUGACUUCCUUAGUUCCU